UCCACGGGGACCUAUGGGGAUGUGAGCGCUUUCCUAAUAGUUUCACUUCAGCGCCGCAUCCAGUGGACCAAGUAAUCGAACGCCUGCUGUGUGUGCGCCACAGUCACGCUCACGUCCUCAGUAAGAAACGAAAAGGCAAUGGCGAGCCUCGGAUUAGUCAUCGCUUCCCCAACAGUAACUUUUAAUCACAGCUGAACCAGGCAGGCAACUCGGCCGAUGAGUCAACCUGCCCUGUGUUCUCCGAGGCACCGGAAUGCGCGGCGCGGGGCCCGCGCAACGUGCAGAUGCGGCUCAUUCCACCGCAUUUCGGUGAAUCACGGCAAAUCACGGUCUACAACCGGGACACCCGCACGUGAGCCUUCCAGCAACUUCUCCCGCUUCCCCCAGGAUCCUGUGGGCAGUCCCUUCCUCUCAUGUCCAGUAAUCAACCCACACAAAGCCUUUGGACAGAAAGUAUGCAUUAAAAACUUCAACUGAAAAACAAACUCGAAGAACCAAAGUGAUUACAAACCUGGGGUUGUAAUGGAAGCUGUCCCUUAACUAGAGCAUUUACAACUAUGAACACUAUAAUUAAAGGGCUUAGGGUGCAGCAGAGGUUGCUUUGUUCAAUAUUGUUUCACCUGCCAUUAAAAUAGGAACAAAAUUGCUUUGAUAAGUGGAUUAAAA